rnacentral:miRNA from 1 species
AACCUCAUUGACCAGAAGGGAUUCCUUCAGGUCGAUGAGAUACAACAACCUCAUUGACCUGAAGGAAAUCCAUCUGGUCAAUGAGGUA